UACGUAGGGGGCAAGCGUUGUCCGGAAUCAUUGGGCGUAAAGCGCGCGUAGGCGGCCAGAUAAGUCCGGUGUGAAAGUCCCAGGCUCAACCUGGAGACGCCACCCGAUACUGCCAUGGCUAGAGUCCGGUAGGGGACCACGGAAUUCCUGGUGUAGCGGUGAAAUGCGCAGAUAUCAGGAGGAACACCGGUGGCGAAGGCGGUGGUCUGGGCCGGAACUGACGCUGAGGAGCGAAAGCAUGGGGAGCAAACAGG
rnacentral:rRNA from 1 species